rnacentral:rRNA from 1 species
UACGUAGGGUGCAAGCGUUAAUCGGAAUUACUGGGCGUAAAGCGUGCGCAGGCGGUUUUGUAAGACAGAUGUGAAAUGCCCGGGCUUAACCUGGGAACUGCAUUUGUGACUGCAAGGCUAGAGUUUGGCAGAGGGGGGGUAGAAUUCCACGUGUAGCAGUGAAAUGCGUAGAUAUGUGGAGGAAUACCGAUGGCGAAGGCAGCCCCCUGGGUCAAGACUGACGCUCAUGCACGAAAGCGUGGGGAGCAAACAGG